rnacentral:lncRNA from 10 species
CUGGAGUGCAGUGGGGCGAACUCUGCUCACUGCAAACUCUGCCUCCUGGGUUCACGCCAUUCUCCUGCCUCAGCCUCCCGAGUAGCUGGGACUACAGGCGCCUGCCAUCAUGCCCGGCUAAUUUUUUUGUAUUUUUUUUAGUAGAGACAGGGUUUCACCUUGUUAGCCAGGAUGGUCUCGAUCUCCUGACCUCGUGAUCCGCCCGUCUUGGCCUUCCAAAGCGCUGGGAUUACAGACGCGAGCGACGGCGCCCGGCCAGGUUUUUGCCUUUUUAAAGAUUCCAGUCAUUUCCGCAGUUAAUUGCUUAAUGCUGAUGCAGUUUCUGGAAACUUCGCAAGCAUGGAAAAAAAUCCGAGAAUACGGUGUCUUUUAGGAGGUUCAUGAAAUGAUGGAAAGGACCCUCAAAAGCACCUUUGAAAACAGCAUCGGGAGCACAAAGGCCAGUCAC